ensembl:lncRNA
GGGGCCCGCCUUGAACACCCUGCAUACGGGCCCGUCGUUGCCUUGUUACGCCAAUGACUGGGUGGCUCUACUCUCCACAGUUGAACCAACCGGACUGGUCUAGGCUCAUCACUGGGUGGCUCUACUCUCCACAGCUGAACCAACCGGACUGGUCUAGGCCCAUCACUGGGAGGCUCUACUCUCCACAGCUGAACCAACCGGGCUGGUCUAGGUUCAUCACUGGGAGGCUCUACUCUCCACAACUGAACCAACCAGGCUGGUCUAGGUUCAUCACUGGGAGGCUCUACUCUCCACAACUGAACCAACCAGGCUGGUCUAGGUUCAUCACUGGGAGGCUCUACUCUCCACAGCUGAACCAACCGGGCUGGUCUAGGUUCAUCACUGGGAGGCUCUACUCUCCACAGCUGAACCAACCGGACUGGUCUAGGUUCAUCACUGGGAGGCUCUACUCUCCACAGCUGAACCAACCGGGCUGGUGUAGGUUCAUCACUGGGAGGCUCUACUCUCCACAGCUGAACACUUCUGGACUGGUCUAGGCUCAUCGCUGGGUGGGCUCUACUCUCCACAGCUGAACACGUCCGGACUGGUCUUGGCUCAUCGCUGGGUAGGCUCUACUCUCCACAGCUGAACACGUCCGGACUGCUCUAGGUUCAUCACUGGGUGGCGUUGGCACUGAAAGUAAAAAACGAGUCAUUCAAACCGUUUGGUAUAAAAGGUCAAAUCUGGUUCUCGUGCAGAAUUUCACGUAAAUCGACCAGCGGAAAAAUACUUGAAUGGUAACAGUAUUGAGAUGACAGCCCGUCCGGUACACUCAGACCCAGGCCAGUGUCUCCAUGCUAAAGCUAGUUAGCUGGGGGUCAGAGGGCUAAACAGCUAACGGCUCAGAGGGGGUCAGUCCUAAUGGGGGGCGACCACACAGCUACACACCGGAGUCCGUCUCCACGCGGAAGGUAUCGACACAAAGAAAGACAGACGUACAGAUCAGAAAGACACAGAUCAUACUGUAAAUUUAGUAGACAAACUUAUAGAACAUAGAUUUUAACCUCUUGAAAUAUACUCUCAUAUAUAUAUUUAGAUAUGCACUUCUUUUUUCAGAUGAAAUAAAUAUAUCCACAGAUGCAGUUAAUCGUUUUUUUUUUCUUAAAAAUAGACCAGCUUUACAAUUGCAGACACACAUGGACAAAGGGAGGACAGGAGGAGAGAAUGGAGAAGGGGAAGAAGAACUAGUCGGCUCAUUAGAAUCUAAAAAGAUAGCUUAGAGUUCCCUCUGCUAGCCGGCGCUGUGCUACGCUUCUGUCCAAUCGCGGCUUGAGUCAAUGAUUUCAGGCGGGAAGUAUUAGAUUGAGUCCAACUGACGCCUGCGGCGGACAUGUUGGAAAAUAACCAAAAGAUCCACCAAAGCGAUCUAAGAUUGCAGGUCUUCCAAGAACAGUCCUACCGAUCAUCCUUUGUGGUAUGAAAUUAAAGUCUGCUCUUCACCUGACUUCUGGUAGCAAAUGGUAAAGCGUUAAUGAUCCUGGUUAACAUACAGAUAUAUGCUUACAAUUUAUUUUAAAAGUUUGAAGAAUAAAUGAUCAAAUUGAGCAUUUGGGUUUUUAACAGAUAAGCACAGCUAUGUUACUGAAACCAGAAAGAAUAUAACCGUAGAUAUCAAAAGCGAAAACAAUUUUCUAUAAUACUACCCAACUCCACAAAUAUAUAUUAUGAGAUAUAGCUAGAUUUCUUUUUUUAAAUAAAGACAAACUUUACACAUCAAAUUCCUGUUUUGAAUUUCAACUUUCAUUCUUUUUCCUGCGUUCUUUGACUGAAGUAAGUUAUGGCUCGGACGCAGCUCAGGGUAAAGCAGGAGCUGAUUAACGAUAAUCAAUAAUAAUAAUCAUUCAACUUGUUCUGGGGGCAGCGGUCAGCGCUGGUGCGAUGCUAACGCGACGCCGCGGUGUCAUAAUGCUCACGCUGGCCCCUCGGCACGGGAUGAGGACUAAGAUUACUUUAGUUCUCGCUAAUGUCUUGACAUCAGAGUGUAGCGGCUGGUUGCAGCUCAAAUGUGACUCGAGGAUGGAAUAAAAAAAUAUUCUGCUGCGCUGUUUUUUUCGGAGCUGCUACUCUAUUCUUCCAACUUGGUUUUGACCACAUUUUCACUAGUUUACCUUUUAUUUUUCAUCACACGUGACCGUUGCGCACAACGUUAUCCGACAUCUUCCCAACAACUAGAAACUUUUUUCACUGAAGCAUGAAGCCAACAAACGCCAGGAGACUGAAGAACACACGAUACGAUUCCCUGCGCAAAUAAGAGUCAUCUUAUCUGGACACAAAAAACAAACAACAAUUUAGCACCAUCUAAUAUUCAAACGUAUUUCACCUCCAGGCAUCUCUAGCACUUCUCGUCUCUGAGGAUUCAUUCAAUGCACAGCGUGUUUGAUUCAGACCCUCCAUUAGCAUCAACUGGCUCAGGUAAACAGAGAGAGGAAAAUAAAGUCAUUUUAAACAAGAUGGCCGCCUGCCGAGGUGUGAUGGCAGAGCAGCAGAUCCCUCGCUGUGCGCCCUGGCCAACGCUCGCGGCUAACGCUCGCGGCUAACGCUCGCGGCUAGCUGGACGUGGCGCCGGCAGGGUUGGGUAGGGAGGGGCCGCUGAGUGGUGGCUUCCCCAAGGGGGGUUGAGAGGGUUUCAUGAACCUCAUGGCACAGUGCUUUACAUCUUAUUAGGCUUUGAUACAUUUGUCUUGAUACACCAAACACCACCGAUUACAGCCACAACUAGACAGAGGUCAAAUAAUGCUUUCAAACAACAGAAACUACCAACGUGAAAUGAGAGACCAACGUAUUGCUCGAGAGAAAAGGUUUUUCCAGCGGACACAUCGAGGCGUUUGUAUAAAGUGGACGUUUGUCGUUCUCCGUGUCCGUACGCUCGUCUGUUGUCCACGUGUGCGUGUGCUUGCAAGAAUGUCAAAUGGAAAAGGCUUCCAUGGGAUUAGAACACAGUAGCUAACAUCACAGAUUAACGUGUUUGAGUUUGGCACGCAGCUCGUCAUUAAGCUAGCUGAAUAUCAGUCACAGUGGACUUACCCUGUUGUCGAGGAAACACAGCGCUGAAAACACAACGAGGAGGCACAGCGAGGGGAGGAGGAGGAGGAGGGGGAGGAGGAGGGGAGGUGAGGAGGAG